rnacentral:rRNA from 1 species
GGACAAUGGGCGCAAGCCUGAUCCAGCCAUGCCGCGUGAGUGAUGAAGGCCUUAGGGUUGUAAAGCUCUUUCACCGGAGAAGAUAAUGACGGUAUCCGCAGAAGAAGCCCCGGCUAACUUCGUGCCAGCAGCCGCGGUAAUACGAAGGGGGCUAGCGUUGUUCGGAAUUACUGGGCGUAAAGCGCACGUAGGCGGAUCGUUCAGUCAGGGGUGAAAUCCCAGGGCUCAACCCUGGAACUGCCUUUGAUACUGUCGGUCUAGAGUAUGGAAGAGGUGAGUGGAAUUCCGAGUGUAGAGGUGAAAUUCGUAGAUAUUCGGAGGAACACCAGUGGCGAAGGCGGCUCACUGGUCCAUUACUGACGCUGAGGUGCGAAAGCGUGGG